AUCAGAACACAGCAUACAGGUCAAAUAAAGUGUUCCAGUCCAUCCGUGUGUGCUGGUCGGAGGGCCUGUUCUACAAUGCAGGAAAAAGAGCCACAGAUUGGAUAUGAAGACACUGGAGCUUGUAUCUAGAUCUGCACCCUGGCUGUGUGACCUCAGGCUGGUGGCACCAGCAAGGGAGGGACCUAUUCAGCAGGCUGUGAAGAACAACGCAGGAGUGAAGGAUCCAGUGGUUAAGACUUCGCCUUCCAGUGCAGGGAGUGUGGGUUCUAUCCCUGAUCAGGGACCUAGGAUCUCACAUGUUUCCCAGCCAAAAAACCAGAGCAUAAAACAGAAGCGAUAUUGUAACAAGUUCCAUAAAGACUUUAAAAAUGGUCCACAUCAAGAA
ensembl:lncRNA